rnacentral:rRNA from 1 species
ACUACGGGUGGCAGCAGUGGGGAAUAUUGGGCAAUGGGCGCAAGCCUGACCCAGCAACGCCGCGUGAAGGAAGAAGGCUUUCGGGUUGUAAACUUCUGUUCUGAGGGACGAAGAAAGUGACGGUACCUCAGGAAUAAGCCACGGCUAACUACGUGCCAGCAGCCGCGGUAAUACGUAGGUGGCAAGCGUUAUCAGGAUUUAUUGGGUGUAAAGGGCGUGUAGGCGGGAAAGCAAGUCAGAUGUGAAAACUCAGGGCUCAACCCUGGGCCUGCAUUUGAAACUGUUUUUCUUGAGUGCUGGAGAGGCAAUCGGAAUUCCGUGUGUAGCGGUGAAAUGCGUAGAUAUACGGAGGAACACCAGUGGCGAAGGCGGCUUGCUGGACAGUAACUGACGCUGAGGCGCGAAAGCGUGGGGAGCAAACAGGAUUAGAUACCCCAGUAGUC